CUAUAUCUGUUCUUAGUUCUAAAUUAUUUUAAAUGGGGCAUGCUUAUUUAAUAUGGUGAGGAAAGUACUUUUGAAGAGCAACCAGGCAUCCUCUGGGAUGAGGUCAGCAAGCAGGCCUUCAGGAUAUGCACUAUGCUUUACCAUUACAUUUACAGUAAGUGACAUUUUGUAAUGCAGGUAAAUUCACAAAACAUGUUCCAGCGUUCUUACUGUUCUAUCCUCAGAAUUGACAGAAGACCCUGUGGUGGUGGUGGAAAUGGUGAGGGCCGGGAAUGACAUACGGCUGUCUUAAAUAAAGCAGGCCAUUGAGGAGAACGAUGACACCUUCGACAAUGUGGCAUCCAUCAGCCUACCAACAAAGCAGGCAAUUGAGGAGAACGAUGACACCUUCGACAAUGUGGCAUCCAUCAGCCUACCAAUAAUAGCCCACCUUUUGAAAAGGCACCAGGUAUCUAUGAAACACAUUUACCUGGUGCCUUUUAAGAGAAACAAUGACCAGGUAAAACAACUGCGGGCCGAGUAUGUUCAGAGGGUGAUGGUGCUUGAUGCUGCUGUGAACCAUCACAAGUAUAUCUUUGUUCAUGAAGCGUGCUUCAACCUGGCCAAAAACUUGUGUCGUGGGCGGAACCUCAUCAGUCAACGGGCGACCGUCCUAGUCCCUGGACAAUGUGGGUUAAACAUCUCUAUGUGCGCAGCUAUCUCUGAAGAUGGUGUGGUAGGAUGUAGGCCAUUACUUGGAUCCUACAAUGCUGCACACCUCAUUGUGUUUCUCAAUUAAAUUGAGCAGGCCAUACAGUAUGUCAUUGUGUGGGACAAUGUCAGGUUCCACCAUGCAGAGGGGGUUGAGGCAUGGUAUUGGGCCGAUCCCCGAUUCGUGACCCCAUACUCUACUUUCCUCAACCCUAUUGAGGAAUUUGUUUCAGCAUGGAGGUGGAAGUGUGUACGAUCACACUUCCACCCAUCCCCAUGAGCCACCCUCCUGGCCAUAGGUGAGGCAUGUGAAGACAUCAAUGCAGACCAUCAAUGCAGACCAAUGUCAAGCUUGGAUUCACCAUGCCAAAAGGUUUUCCCCAUGAUUGCAUGAACAAUGAGGACAUUCAUUGUGAUGUGGAUAAGAAUUUAUGGCCAAAUGCUUAAGACAGGCUUGAUCCAAAUUAAUGGAUUUAUUUUCAUUCGUUUCAUUUAAUUUCUUACAUUUGAUUACAGUCAGUACAGCUACGUUGCAAUUAUUUCGUAAAAAUAUUUUGCAUGAAUGAUUGUAGAGGAUGUUUUUAUUGAGCACACCUUUGAUUACACAUUGGAUAGAUAUUAUGUAAAUUAUAGAUUUUCUGUCAAUUUUGUUCGAUAAUGUAAGUGUAUUGCCUAAUGUGAAAACUAUGUAAUUUACAGUACUGUAGCAUAUUAUUUUCAGCACUUCUAAGGGUGAUUUGAAACGCGUAUCUUGCAUUGUUUUCUAUUGCAUUAACUGGUAGUUAAAACAACUAAAUUGAAAGAUAUCAUUAUGUUUUGGUGAUUGUUUAAUCUUCUCAUUAAAUUUCACAAACUUCUA